rnacentral:piRNA from 1 species
UGCUCUCCAUACCCCAGAGCCGGGUGCCCAGU